rnacentral:rRNA from 1 species
CUGGCUCAGAUUGAACGCUGGCGGCGUGCCUAACACAUGCAAGUCGAACGCGAAAGUUU